CGCGUUUUCACGUUUUCCACGAAUCGUCCUUCCGUCUCGCGUCUUCAACGUGAAUUCUUCGCCAAAUUGUUUUCCUUGUGUGUUGUGAUCAUUGUUGCGAUCAACAGAGUGUUCGAUCCUUAUUAAAGGAAACGAUAAUGUCCGAUCAAGAGGUGACUGGCAAUGCGAAGGAUAUCGGGAGGAGGCAGGCGAUUCCCGUCAUUUACACUAGAGGAACACAUUACGAUGUCGGCUUCGAUAUUAUGCAACUAACUUCGUUUUAACGCUAGAACUACCAAAAUUGGUCAAAAUGGCCAAUUUGUAAUACUUUUAAACGAUUUCUCGCUGUAUAAAUAAAUAAACGCUUGUGUGCUUUGUAUUGUGUCGUAAA